rnacentral:misc_RNA from 1 species
CUCAUUUCGACCACCAUCGCCUCUCGUUUGGGCUUUUGCCCAACACGUAUUGGCGGAUAUGGGUUUUUCGUCGCCUUGUAAGCCACACGCUUUCCAUACACUGGAAGCCUCUCUCCAGUCGCCAAACUCUUUGCUUCGAACCCUUUGCCCGCCAUGAUCUAGAGUCCGAGCCCCCCCCUCCCCCCCUGUCCCCGGUCCCGCUCCUUUGUCCUCUCCUUGGGUUCUCCAACUCAGGGAACUCCGAGGGGAAGGGCUGAGGAAAGACCGUGGGGCGGGGGGGGGGGGGACCUCGGCGGAAGGGUCGCGGCAGGUAAAGGUUAGGGUUAGGGUUAGCGAUUGCGGGGCUUACGGAUUUGGGGAGCUUGACUUUUGAAGCGUCACCCGAAACAUGAACGCUCGGCAUGCCCCCCCACCCCCCCUCUCUCAAAACGCUACUUUCCAAGUAACGGGGGACUCCUAACAACAGCGCCUGCUGGUACAUGCCACUUGGCCUGUUGGAGUCUCGAUCUGGACUUGCAAAACUAUGCGUGUGCGGGUGUGGGUGUGGGGUCGGUCGGCAAGAGGGGGGACUUUCAACCCCCCCCCCCCCCCCCGCCUCGGCGUCCUCCUUUACUGGCGGACCAACCGUUUUUGACAAACGAUCUCAAAUCAGGUAGGGCUACCCGCUGAAUUUAAGCAUAUAACUAAG